CCUUAUUGUAAGUGUUUCUAAAAUCCCCUAUAAGGAGAAAUGAAUGGAGAAAAACCAUUUAGAACCAUUUCCCUGUUUGACCGCUAGGUAUUAUGACUCAUACUGUGGUACUCUAUUUUUGGGGUGGAGACAUGAGCAUCUCAUUGUAUACAGAUUUGUCUCCUCUCCUCAAUUCAAUUUCGAGAGGAAGAGAGGCCCAACUCAGUGGAAAAUCUGUCUUCCUCCAGUCUGCAAUAAGGAGUCCAACAGACAAUGUGAUGUCCCCAUGUACAAGACAGCUCAUGAAGAAAGCUAUCAAGGACAUACCGUCAUCUCCCAGACCCAGACGGGAAGCAAAAGAGAACACUGCAAAUAAAUGAAUUACCUUUUUAUGUACAGUGUGAUGUCUUUACGGUAUUCCUCUCUCUGCUAAGAUGGGCAGAUAAAUUAAUCAUUGACAUUUUCCUGACAUUCUACCGUCUUUUUAAUAUGUUCUUACUAACCAAGCUGCUCACACUUUAUUGAUCCAUUAUGCAAUGUGGUGUAUAUGGGGG
rnacentral:lncRNA from 1 species